rnacentral:tRNA from 1 species
GUGGGUAUUGCUCAGUGGUAAAGUGCAUGCUCAACAUACAAAAGGUCCUGGGUUCAAUCCCCAGUACCUCCA